GACGAACGCUGGCGGCGUGCUUAACACAUGCAAGUCGAACGAAGUGGCGAACGGGUGAGUAACGCGUAAUCAACCUGCCCUUCAGAGGGGGACAACAGUUGGAAACGAAUGCUAAUACCGCAUACUGAAGGAGGGGCUUGCGUCUGAUUGGCUAGUUGGAGGGGUAACGGCCCACCAAGGCGAUGAUCAGUAGCCGGUCCGAUAGGUUGGACCGCCACCUCGGGGCUGGAGCACGGCCCAGACUCCUACGGGAGGCAGCAGUGGGGAAUCUUCCGCAAUGGGGGGAAGUCUGACGGGGCAACGCCGCGUUAGUUAUGACGGCCUUCGGGUUGUAAAGCUCUGUUAAUCGGGACGCGGUACCGGAAUAGAAAGCCACGGCUAACUACGUGCCAACAGCCGCGGUAAUAC
rnacentral:rRNA from 1 species